rnacentral:rRNA from 1 species
ACAGUCUCAGUUCGGAUUGAAGGCUGAAAUUCGCCUUCAUGAAGCCGGAAUUGCUAGUAAUGGCAGGUCAGCAUACCGCCGUGAAUACGUUCCCGGGCCUUGUACACACCGCCCGUCACACCAUGAGAGUUGGGAAUACCCGAAGCCUGUGAGCUAACUUUUAGAGGCAGCAGUCGAAGGUAGAAUCAAUGAUUGGGGUGAAGUCGUAACAAGGUACC